rnacentral:rRNA from 1 species
UACAGGGGGGGCAAGCGUUGUUCGGAAUUACUGGGCGUAAAGGGUUCGUAGGUGGCCAACUUAGUCAGACGUGAAAUCCCUCAGCUUAACUGGGGAACUGCGUCUGAUACUGGAUGGCUUGAGUGCAGGAGAGGAACGCGGAAUUCCAGGUGUAGCGGUGAAAUGCGUAGAUAUCUGGAGGAACACCGGUGGCGAAGGCAGCUCUCUGGGACGGUACUGACGCUGAGACGCGAAAGCGUGGGGAGCGAACAGG